GGGGAUGUAGCUCAGUUGGUAGAGCGCUUGCCUCGCAUGCACAAGGUCCUGGGUUCAUUCCCU
rnacentral:tRNA from 1 species